CUUCCCUUCGCCAUGUCUCCUCCAGUCUCUCCUCUAAACUCUAUAAACUACAAUUAAAGCCCCGAAAUCCAAGCUUCCUUCCAGCCGGUUACCUGCAGGACAACUUCCGGGUUCAUGUCCGCUGUCUCCGCCCACAAGAGAGACGCCAUAAUGACUCUUGCAGCCCCAGCGCCGUUUGCCAGUGAGGUCCUUUUCCUCCACACUGACAGGGCAGGGAGCUGUGGUUGCUGCUGAAGGGCCGAGGGGACCAUGUGGCGAGGCGUCCAUCUGGGGUAACCUGAGUAAACGCAGGGUUCAAGUCUCCUCCAGUAGCAUGCUCCUCUUGCCAAGCUGCUGUCUGCAACCCACCGUGUCCACUAUCACCACCUUCAUCUCCAAAUGCGGUCAGUGAGUCAUCUACCAAGCCACACUCAGAAUCACCAGCUUUUAGACAUUUUCAGCAACAGCUGACAUCUCCCUCCCCUGGUAUCUCCCUUCAGUAUACAGACUAUAAUACAACUCUUUGUACUCUUUGUGUAGCGUCUCUGCCUUCUGCAUUUGGGUCAGAACAGAAAGAAAACCUCUUGUGCUUUUCUUUCUGGCAAUGAUGCAGCUUAACGGAUUUAGAUCAGAAAAAUGCUGACACUUGACAUGCAUGUUGUUUGUUUGACCACUGCCUGUUUGGGCUGCAGUGUCCACAUCGACUAAAUCACCAGAUUCUUGUUGGUUAUUUUUAUUUAGUCAUUUUUCAGUCAAAAGAUGAG
ensembl:lncRNA